GGCGUGGAAAGAGCGGGGCUUGGAUGGACGCAAUGGGCGGUCGUGCGUCUUGACGUCACGGAGACCUUAUAUACUCGACUCAGGCGCCAUAUCGGCCUUUCGGAGCUGUGAGGCGAAUCUGAGCAGGAAUGGCGCUGUGGACCUCUGUGAUGGGACAUCUGGUGGAAUCUCACAGGCAGUUCUGUGGCAAAGACGGAUGAAAGCUAAGGACUCAUGAGGAAGCUGGAUAACUGAACAAGAGCCAUGUAAGCAGGCUUUUUGGUACAAGAAUGGGAAGCCAGAAAAUGAAAUGGU